rnacentral:rRNA from 1 species
CGUAUACAUGGCAAGGUCGAGCGAACAGAUAAGGAGCUUGCUCCUUUGACGUUAGCGGCGGACGGGUGAGUAACACGUGGGCAACCUACCCUAUAGUUUGGGAUAACUCCGGGAAACCGGGGCUAAUACCGAAUAACUUGUUGUCUCUCAUGAGACAAUUCUAAAAGACGGUUUCGGCUGUCGCUAUAGGAUGGGCCCGCGGCGCAUUAGCUAGUUGGUGAGGUAACGGCUCACCAAGGCGACGAUGCGUAGCCGACCUGAGAGGGUGAUCGGCCACACUGGGACUGAGACACGGCCCAGACUCCUACGGGAGGCAGCAGUAGGGAAUCUUCCACAAUGGGCGAAAGCCUGAUGGAGCAACGCCGCGUGAGUGAAGAAGGAUUUCGGUUCGUAAAACUCUGUUGUAAGGGAAGAACAAGUACAGUAGUAACUGGCUGUACCUUGACGGUACCUUAUUAGAAAGCCACGGCUAACUACGUGCCAGCAGCCGCGGUAAUACGUAGGUGGCAAGCGUUGUCCGGAAUUAUUGGGCGUAAAGCGCGCGCAGGUGGUUUUUUUAAGUCUGAUGUGAAAGCCCACGCUCACCGUGGAGGGUCAUUGAAACUGGGAAACUGAGUGCAGAAGGAGAUAGUGGAUUUCCAGGGUAGCGUUAAAUGCGAAGAGAUUGGAGGAACAACCAGUGGCCGAGGCCGACUAUCUUGUCUGUACCUGCACCUAGGGCCCGAAGCCGGGGGGGGCAAAACAGGAUAGAAACCCCUGGUAUUCACGGCCGUAAACAUUAGUUCCUAAUUUUAGGGGUUUUCCCCCCCUAAUUGCGCAGGUUAAGGCAUUAAGCAUUCGCCUGGGGGAGUCGGGUGCCAGGACGGAAAUUAAAAGAAAUGGAGGGGGCCCGCCCCAAGGGUUGGGCCAGUGGUUUAAAUUGAAGGCAAGGGAAGGACCUUUCCCAGUUUUGACCUUCCCAUGGCCCACGGAGGGAAUCCAUUUUUCCUUUGGGGGCCAAGGUGACCAGUGGGGCCAGGUUGUUGUUCGGUUGGGUUCGGGGAAGGUGGGGUAAAUCCCGCCAAGAGCGCCACCCUUGAUUUUUGUUGCCCUUCAUUAGUUGGGCCCUUUAAAGGGGACUCCGGGGGCCAACCCGGAGAAAGGGGGGGAGGAGUUCAAUCCUCCUUCCCCUUAAGGCCUGGGGUUCCCCCGGGGUUCCAAGGGAGGUUCCAACGGGUGCCCACUUGGGGGGAGGAGGUUAUUCCGAAAAAUUGGUUUUCAUUUGGAAUGUAGGGUGCAAAUUGCCUUCCAGAAACCGGAAUUGCUUGUUAUUGGGGAUUCGCCAUCCGCCGGGAAAUAGUUUCCCGGCCUUGGACCCCCCCCCCGUCCCCCCCAGGGAAUUUGGAACCCCCGAAAUUGGUGGAGUUACCCUUUUGGAGCCAGCCGCUA